GAUGAACGCUGGCGGCGUGCCUAAUACAUGCAAGUCGAGCGAACAGACGAGGCGCUUGCUCCUCUGACGUUAGCGGCGGACGGGUGAGUAGCACGUGGAUAACCUACCUAUAAGACUGGGAUAAUUUCGGGACACCGGAGCUAAUACCGGAUAAUAUAUUGAACCGCAGGGUUCAAUAGUGAAAGACGGUUGUGCUGGCACGUAUAGAUGGAUCCGCGCCGCAUUAGCUAGUUGGUAAGGUAACGGCUUACCAAGGCGAGGAUGCGUAGCCGACCUGUGAGGCUGAUCGGCCACACUGGAACUGGGACACGGUCCAGGCUCCUACGGGAGGCAGCAGUAGGGAAUCUUCCGCAAUGGUCGAAAGCCUGACGCAGCGACGCCACGUGAGUGAUGGCGGUCUUCGGAUCGUAAAACUCUGUUAUGAGGGAAAAACAACUGUGUACGUAACUAUGCACGUCUUGACGGUACCUAAUCAGAAAGCCACGGCUAACUACGUG
rnacentral:rRNA from 1 species